CCUACGGGAGGCAGCAGUGAGGAAUAUUGGUCAAUGGGCGCUAGCCUGAACCAGCCAAGUAGCGUGAAGGAUGACUGCCCUAUGGGUUGUAAACUUCUUUUAUAUGGGAAUAAAGUGAAGAAUGUAUACUGCUUUGCAUGUACCUUAUGCAUCAGGAACGGCUAACUUCGUGCCAGCCGCCGAGGUAAUAUCGAGGAUCCGAGCUUUCUCCGGAUUUUUUGGGUUUAAAGGGAGCGUAGGCGGGUUGUUAAGUCAGAUUUGAAAGUUUGGGGCUCAACCUGAAAAUUGCAGUUGAUACUGGCAUCCUUGAGUACAGUAGAGGUAGGCAGAAUGCGUGGUGUAGCGGUGAAAUGCUUAGAUAUCACGAAGAACUCCGAUGGCGAAGGCAGCCUGCUGGACUGUAACUGACGCUGAUGCUCGAAAGUGUGGGUAGCAAACAGGAUUAGAUACCCCAGUAGUC
rnacentral:rRNA from 1 species